CCCUUAGAUGUUCUGGGCCGCACGCGCGCUACACUGUUCGACGCAGCGAGUCUUAACCUUGACCGAAAGGUUUGGGUAAUCUUCAGCAAAGUCGAACGUGAUGGGGAUCGAUCAUUGCAAUUAUUGAUCGUGAACGAGGAAUUCCUAGUAAGUGCAAGUCAUCAGCUUGCGCUGAUUACGUCCCUGCCCUUUGUAUACACCGCCCGUCGCUACUACCGAUUGAAUGGUUUAGUGAGAUCUCUGGAUUGACGCUGGCUAGGGGGCGACCCUUGGCCAGACUGUUGAGAAACUGCUCAAACUUGAUCAUUUAGAGGAAGUAAAAGUCGUAACA
rnacentral:rRNA from 1 species